UCUUGUGGGGGGCUGAGGGAUGUCCCUUUGGGCUUUUGGGGGGUCUCCGGGGUCUCCCCUGGCUUCAGAUUGGACAGGCAACUGGGUGGAGGAGGACAACCCACCCUACUCCUACUACCUGUACUACAUGUAUGCCAACAUGAGGGUGCUCAAGCACCGCCGGCGAUGCCCACCAUGGCUCUCUGUCAAUCAGUCAGCAUCCCAUCUUCUUCAUCUAGAAGCUUCAGUUCAAGACGUCAAGUCAUUCGCCAGGGUCCAGGGGUCAGCCCCGGGAGACUUGCCUUAUGCGCUAUCCUAAAUGUCUAUCGCCCAGUACCCAUCCCUUUGGGUCAUUUAUUGGUUGGUAAAAUGUUAUCUACUUCUGGUUUCGACCUCCCUUUAAAUGUAACCUUGGCACAUCUCCCGGGGCUCUCAGCAGGAGGCCCCCUGAGGUGCCGGAGCUCCCCAGAGCUCCUGACUAAAACCUUGGGUUAACCCCUGCUAAGAGUCGGCCCUUUACCUUCCACCGAUGUCUCUGGUGUCUCCUCUGCUGCAAAGGCGACUGGCCCAGCUGCCCUCAGCACCCUCGGGGCACGAGAGAGUGUCUCCCCACAGUCGGCUGUGUCGGGGUUGCUCCCCCCGUGUCUGCCGACUUGGGCCUGGCUGGGGGAUCCUGAGAGGGUCCCAGAGGGACAGAGGCAUUUUGGCGCCCAACGCGUGGCACUGAGUCAACCUCCAGAGCUCACGGAUGGGGCUCAGACAUUCUUUCAGACUGCUCAUGAAAGCCUGUGGCCCACACGUUACCUCAGUAAGAACACAGUCAGUUUUAUUGAGUGGGUCUUUCUGUGGAUGAAAACUGGUAGCUCUUGAAGCACCCUCAAGGGUCAGUUUCAGGUGGAAGACAUCAUCCCAGAAACCCCUUCCUUCCCAUUCUACAUCUGGACUGGUAAGUGUAACCUUUUCUUGUUUUCCUCCCCUCUUCGGGAGGAGGGGUGUUUCCCUACCUAUGUUUUUUUAGGCUCACCUGCAGAGCUGAGAGUUUUUUUCUCUAAUUUUGUCAGGCUGCCAGCUGCAGGGAGUUGGUUUUUUUUUUCUAUCCACCCCCCACCUGGGUUGGUGAAAGUUGAGAUACAACUCUUUAAAUCACAGCUAUAAUGGGUGUCUGUUCCAGAUUGCAAGGCAUGAUGCAUUCUAUUACCAUCUGUAUGGCAGUUGUCUGGUGUCAAGUGGGCAAUUCUCCUUAUCUCUCUCCCUGAGUGAUCACAAUCACUCCUCCCUAGGCAGGGGACAUCUGCUGAUAACAGGCUAUUGAAUGACACUGCAUGACUGAUAAGAACUAUAACAUCCCACUGGAAGACGCUCCGCCCAGAGGGAGGAGCCAAGCAUUGCUACCCAGAUAUAAUCUGGAGAUUCUGACACCCCAGCACGGCUUCUGACUGGAUUCCCCAGGGGAGCAGCAGCUGCUUCUACUUCCACAGAUCUGCGGAGGAAGAAUACACCCUUUUUCUACAGGAGCCCCCUGCUCCAACAGAACCACACCUGACACUUGAGGAAGACUGCAGCCACUUUUCCAACUGGACUGCUACCAGCACCCUGACCAACACGGUGUCAGGUUGAGUUCUGACUCUGUCAGUGUUGUUCUAGUGUAUUGCGUUGUUUUAUUUUAUCCUUUUAUGUUUUUCCUUCCUGUUGCAGUGUGUUUUUAUUUUGAAGGUUAUUGUUUGAUUUGUCCUUUUGGGGUUUUUCUCCCCCUGAUUUUGGAGGGACACAGACCUGCCUUUGUUGUUCACUUGAGCCAGGUGUCUUCUCGUUUUGCUACUUAGCUACUUUUCUGCCACAUUUCAAACCCCUUCCUCCCACAUCCAGUUGUUAACCCCUUCCUGUCCCAAGCAGUUUUCCUCCCUUGUAUUUCCUGCCUUGUGUUCCACCCCCAGUGCUUUUGAUUAGUUGAACAUUGUAUCCUCCCUUGAGACCUGCCCCCCUUUAGAGGCUGUUGUUUUCCCCUGCUCAUUUCUUGGGACCCUGAGACGUGGGGAGUUUCCCAUCAGAUGAAGUAACCCAGUGCCACCCCAGGCCCAUGCUGCUGCUGUGGCCUUCUGUUCUGUGCUGCGCCUCCACUGGUAGCUGGGAUUCUGCGGAGCCCCGAAAGAGGGGGACUGUCACCCCCCAAAUGUCACCAACUAGCUGGGACGUGCGACACUCCGUCCUCAUCACUGCAGGGAGGAAGGCAAGGGGUGGGAUAGGGAAUGUUUCCUCAUCACCACCUCGCGCAUGAAGGGAAAGGGGAGCAGGUGACAUGUGUCCCUGUCCACAACACUCCCAGGAGAUGUUUCUUUGUGGCCCAGAUUGGGUUGGACCAGGCUUCUCCCAUCCCGGUGGGGCAUUGCCCCCUCUAUCCUGCAGUCUCCCAUCCCAGUGCUGCUCAUCUGCAUCUGGAGCCGGCAUUCCUGGGAAAACCUGGUGGCGACCAUAAAAACAACAAACUUUUGAGAAAAAAAACCUAACUGAGCAUGAAAAAUAAAAGUAUUUAUGUAAAA